rnacentral:rRNA from 1 species
AAUCAACGCUGGCGGCGUGCCUCAGACAUGCAAGUCGAACGAUUAAACUUUCCUUCGGGAAAGAUAUAAAGUGGCGCACGGGUGAGUAACACGUAAGUAAUCUACCCUCGAGUGGGGAAUAACGUUCGGAAACGGACGCUAAUACCGCAUAAUGCAGCGGCACCGCAAGGUGACAGUUGUUAAAGAUUUAUCGCUUGAGGAGGAGCUUGCGGCAGAUUAGCUAGUUGGUAAGGUAACGGCUACCAAGGCUACGAUCUGUAACCGGUCUAAGAGGACGGUCGGUCACACUGACACUGAAUAACGGGUCAGACUCCUACGGGAGGCAGCAGUCGGGAAUUUUGGGCAAUGGGCGAAAGCCUGACCCAGCAACGCCGCGUGAAGGAUGAAGUAUUUCGGUAUGUAAAC